GGAGGCAGCAGCCUGCGCUGGGACCCCCCAGAGAAGCAGAGCUCCGAAAGGAAACAGCUCUGGAGCCCAAACCCCCCGGGAGCACCGGGACGCCCCGCGGCUGCUGAGGGGAGAGGCAGCGGGGGGCAGCCCAGGGCUGAGGGGGGGAGCCCGGGGCCCACGGCGGAGCCGGGGGAGAGGCGCGGCCCGAGGCCCGCGGGCACGGAGGGGCCGUGCGGGGCCGUAUGGGGCUGGGUCCCCCCCCGGCCCCGUCCCCUCACUCACACCGAGCAGCUCCGGCAGCUCCGCUGGCAGCGCCGCUCCCGCUGCGGCUGCCGCCGGCCCCCGCCUCUUCCCCCCGCGGCACCGGGGGCGGGCCGGGGCCGGGGCCCUCCCCGGAGCCUUCCCCGCCCUCCGCCGGCUCCGCCCGGCCCGGCCCGGCUCGGUUCGGCGCUGAGGGGACAGCCCCAAACCCAUCCCGCAGCCGAGGUGGGGGGAGAAGCCCACGGCCCGGGGCUCUGUCACGGCGCGGGGCUGUUCGUGAGGCGAACAAGGAAAGGUUGCGAGCUGGAAGGAGGCAGGGGUGAAGCGAUGAGCCCAGCGCCUGCCCCACGCACCCCAACAUCCCAUCCCAUCCCCUCCCAUCCCCUCCCCAUCCCAUCCCAUCCCCAUCCCAUCCCCAUCCCAUCCCAUCCCAUCCCCGCUUCUGCCGGGCUCGGGCCUCGUGGCCACGCUGCCUGUGCCACCUCGUGCUGCCUCCAGCUGCAGCCCUGCUGGGUUUCGGGACAAAAGGCGAUUCCUGCACCCCGGCACUGCUCAGCACACCUCCCACCAGCCAGCCCGAGGGGCAGCGGCAGCACAAGUCGGGGCAGAGCUGCACUAAAAGGUUUUCUGGUGGUGUCCCACGCUGAACCGCCUCACCCAGGGUCAGACCAGCAGUGCCAGGAACAAGAGGGCAGCGGCACCACCUGGAUCAGUGCAAACAUGCAGAGCACGCCCAGACUCCUAGCGGCUGGGCCAACCUUCCCCAAAAGAUAUAAUUACUUGAUAAACACCCUCUAA
rnacentral:lncRNA from 1 species